UUCUAGAGCUAAUACAAUCGAGCUCCGACCUGCAUUUAUUAGAACAAUGUUGACUCUGAAUAACUGAGCAGAUCGUUUUAGUACCGGCGACGUAUCUUUCAAGUGUCUGCCUUAUCAAAUUUCGAAGGUACUUUAUGUGAGUACCUUGUUUUUGACGGGUAACGGAGAAUUAGGGUUCGACUCCGGAGAGGGAGCCUGAGAAACGGCUACCACUUCCAAGGU
rnacentral:rRNA from 1 species